AAAGGUAAUACUUUUAGGAAACCUUUAUCCUUUGGCGGCCUUUUUUCUUAUCAGAGGAAUUCGUCUUCUAACCGAUAUUACCCGAUUAUUUUCCCUCUCUUCUACUCUUUUAUACCGCCGUCUAAAUAAUACAUUUAAAACUCUAUUUGCAAUAAUAUUUUCUAAGUCAGGUCAAGGUGAAGAUAUAAGAAAGACUAGAUAAAUUACUCAUUCAUAUUACUAAUGAAUUUUUAUCUAAAGCCUAAAAUGAAACAGGAUUUGAAAGUAGGAGGGAUAAAAUAAAAAUUCCAUCCGAACUAGCGUUUAGGUGUACACAUCGCCCGUCGCUCUUA
rnacentral:rRNA from 1 species